UCUUUAAGUCAGCACAUAUUCAUUGCCCACUAUAAUCCUGUAACAAUCCAAUAGGGUACUUGUUGAUACUUCCUUUUAAAGAUGAGAAAACUGACACUCAAGAGGACUAAGUAAUUUGUGCAAAAUCACACAGCUAAUCAAUAGCAGAGCCAUGAUUUGGCUUCAUGCCUGUCCAACAAAGCCUGCCUUUUUUCCACAAUGCUACACUGCAGGCUUCUGAGUCUCUAUAGAGGUAGGCAUAAUGAAAGUUGUUUGGCAAGGGUGAGGACAUCAUAGCAGAGAGAGUCUGGAGGGCAAACAGUUUGCAAUAGGGCAAACAGUGCAGUAGUAACUGUGGUGUGAGGAGAAAAAUGAGAAAAGAGUUUGUAGUGAAAGUCAAGAUGAAUGGAAAGGAAAAGGUGAACUCCGAAUACAUAAUGAGGGAAUAAGAAUGUUCAGGACUUUGUGUUUGAGUAUAGCUAGAGAGAAAGAGAGGAGCAAGAGAUGUUUCCAGAGAUCCACGCCUGGGACUUGAAUGUGUGUGAGAUGUGACUGUGAUAAUCAAGACUUUGUGUUUUCUUAAACAUACUAGAAUAUGUGCAUCUAAAGAACAGGGUCCUUCAAAGCUGUUACCUUGGGAGACUUUGGCCUUGUUCUGACAAUGUUGCCACUACUAAAAUUUAUAAUUAUGAGGACUCUUCCUUCAGGACUGCCUUCAUCCAUAUGGGAAGAGGUCUCCUGACUGUAGCCAAACAUGCCAUUUCUCAGCCUAACCACUCAUCUGAUAUUCCAAACUUGGCUCCAAGUCACUUACUUGUUAAAAACAAAAACAAAAAAAAAAGUAAUUGUUAAAGGACAAAGCUUUGCCACUUUCGAGGGUUUGCUCAGGCUCACUUGCUCCCAGGGGGACAGUGUGGACAACACAGACCCCAGGCAGUCCUGGGUUUGAACUCUGACACAGCCAGUUCCUUGGCCAAGUUAUUUAACCCCACUGUGCUGCAGAUCUUUCAGCUACAAAAUGGUUAUUACAAUUCCUUCCCCAGAGUGUUGUAGGGUUAAUUAGGAUGCUUUCAGUAGCAAAUAACAGAAAAGUCAACUCAAAUAGACUUAAACAAUGUAGGAAUUUAUUUGCUCACAUAGGGGGAAGUCCAGAGGUAAAGUGAACUCCAGGCAGAAUAUAACUGGGGCUCAAGCUUUAGUUCUCUGCAGUUCUCUUGGCUGUGUCCUCUUCUGAUUUCCAGCGUUUUUGUCAGGCUGGUUCCCUUUGUAUUUACAAGAAAGUCAUUAACAGCAGCUAGGGCAACAUGCUUUCUUCCUCAUGUCUAGCGCAGGAGAGAGAAAAACCUCUUCCCCAGCAGUUGAAUAUAGACACUUCCCUCCCAUACAUUUGGAUCAUCUUAAGACACGUGCCCAUCUAUGGGUCAAUAGCCAGCAUCACACUGCCAUGCAUAGAUCAGCUUAACCUGGGGUAGACUGGGUGUCAGGAAGAAUUAAAUAGUAUAACUCAUGGACAUUAACUGGCCUGUAACUAGCACUCAGUACAAGUUUAUUAUUUUUUUCUAAUAAUGAAAGGAGAAUUAAUUAGGUCAAUUACACAUACACUUCUUAUUAAAUAUGGAAUGUCUUUUUUCUUUAAUGUUUACCUUCACUCUCUCUUUUGGUCUAGGGCCACAGUCUCACUUCCCAUCAAAAUGGAUUAUAGGGCAGUGCACAAGCUGGGACAAUAGCCCUGACCUUACUUGUUUAGUGCAUGAAAAACAGCUCCAGUUUUGAAUUCAGAGGCAGAAGUCAGGACACAUAAACAGGAAGGGAAUGCUGAGUAGGGGCUGGGAAAUGGGAUGAUUGGGAAUUGGGAGGAAACUCCAAAAUAUUAUUGAUUUUACUUUUGCUCUGCUCCUCUCAGCUCUGUUCCUAGUGCUGUCUCUGCCUUCGCAGGACUCACUGGGGCAGGGGGUGGGCCUUGCCAGCAAUUAGAGGGAAGUUUUAAACACCUCAUCCAUCCAAGCAUACUUAGGACCCCAUUUCGUCAUUAUGUAUUUGGCAACUAGCUGGGACAGACCAGAACUGAGGCUUUCACACCUAUUUAGCACCUGGUUAAGCGUCACUUGGCAUCUGCCAAAUGGGUCUCUACCAUUUAGGGAGAAUUUGCACUGAUUACCACACUAAUUAAGCAGAAGUCAUUGCUACUCACAAUCAUUAGACUAAAUCGGUUUCUGGGGAAAAGUCUUGAUAAGCAGCUGCCCAAAUGAAAUGGAUUUGAAGGCAUCCCAUGCACACAGGCUCACGCACCAGAAAUUGCUCUCGUGCUGUCAGCCAUCACUACCUGAUUAUUCCAAUGAACAGAUUCUUGAUGUGACUAAACCCAGAGAUAGCUGACAGUCUCAAAGCCAGGUGACAUGGGCUGGGGAAUCUUACAAGGUGAGCUGCUCACACUUAAUUGAGGUAAAUUAUACUAAGUACCAAGCUUGAGGAGCAUGCCUUGCAGUGAGUAGAUAUUUUGCACAUCCUUUGGCUUUAUUCCCUUCCCUUUUAUUUCUGUUCCAGGGAUGCUCUUGGAGUAAGCAAUUCUCUGCCCCAAUGACUUUUUAUAAUUGCCCUUUAGAUUCCUUAGAGCAUUUUAUAGACUCAGUUGUGGGUGGAAAGAAGCAGACUCUCAAAACUUUGAUUCUUAGAAUUGCUGUGAACUUGGCAUUUGCUCAACAAUUUUGGGGAGUGUGUGUGUGUGUCUUGUAUACAUGUAUGUGUGAUGGGGAGGAUACAUAGCUUUGAUAUCCAAGACAUUAGGGAUGCCUGUAGCCAUCUGAGGACUUCUGUAGGCAACAGAUUCUCAGAAGAGAACAAAAACUCAAAUAACAACAUCAGAUACAGUAGUCCCCCUUUUCUGAGGUUUUGCUUUCCAUAGUUCCAGUUACCCAUGGUACAGUAAAUAAGAUGUUUUGAGAAAGAGAGACCACAUUCACAUAACUUUUACUACAAUAUAUUGUUAGAAUUGUUCUAUUUUAUUAUUGUUGUUGUUCAUUCUUUACUGUGCCUAAUUUGCAAAUUAAACUUCAUCAUAGGUAUGUAGGUGUAGGAAAAAGUUAGUAUAUAUGGGGUUUGGUGCUAUUUGCGGUUUCAGGAAUCCACUGGGGGCCUUGGAAGAUAUCCUUUGGAUACGGGGAGAGACUACUGUACUAUUCCUGGAAGACACCGACCAGCCCCAAG